GACGUAGGGUGCAAGCGUUGUCCGGAUUUAUUGGGCGUAAAGAGCUCGUAGGCGGCUUGUCGCGUCGACUGUGAAAACCCGUGGCUCAACCAUGUGGUCUGCAGUCGAUACGGGCAGGCUAGAAUUCGGUAGGGGAGACUGGAAUUCCUGGUGUAGCGGUGAAAUGCGCAGAUAUCAGGAGGAACACCGGUGGCGAAGGCGGGUCUCUGGGCCGAUAUUGACGCUGAGGAGCGAAAGCGUGGGGAGCGAACAGG
rnacentral:rRNA from 1 species